GCUGGAAUGGCCGAGUCGUUAAGGCGAGUGAUUUGAACUUCCAAACUCAUCACUUGGUGUUUCACCGCGUAGGUUCAAAUCCUGCUUCCAGCG